ensembl:lncRNA novel transcript
GGAUUUUUCCUUUUGGGAGCCCCUCUCUCUCACACAGGGAGAGAGCUGUUCUCCUUUCUCUUUCUUCUUCCUAUUAAACCUCCACGCCUAAACUCAGUCCUCUUGGGUGUCUAUGUCCUUAAUUUUCUUAGCGAGAGACUACAAACCCGGGGUAUUUACCCCAGACAACUACCCCGCUUCAUAUUGGGAAUCUCAGCCAGGAUCCCAAGGUACAUUCAUCGGAACGGCUACCACCCGAGGGGACACCAGCUCUGGGACUCAAAAAAUGGUAAAGAGACCUCCAGAAUCAAUGAAUCACUUUCAGAGAAAAGAAAAGAAAAACUUUAAAAACACAAAGAAAAAAAAUACCACAUUUUCCCCAAAUUUCACGUCAUAACCAACUAGAAGUGCAAACGUAAGUGAUGCUGGAAACAAGACUCUGGCAAGAAGGGCCUUCUGAGCAAGGUCAGCAUCUCCUCCCAACAGCUCUUUCUCCCAACAAUGCCAGGGGAUCUUUCAAAAUUGCCACUGCUGCUGCUAAGCUCCAGAAGAGAGGUUUCUGAACUUCAAUGUCUUUAUCAUAGCUCACUCUCUGGGUUCUCAGAUAGAUAUAUAUAUAUCAGGGUUGUCUUCAUCUGAAUGAAGCUGGAAACUCUGCCUGACAGCAUGCUUAUAAUGCUCCUGGAUGCCCUUGGUCGGCAGCUGCAGCGGCAAAUGUCUGUAGAGCUGUAGCAGCCUCCAGACCAGCUCUGUCCCUGGUGGUAGCAGGAUCAUCUGCAAGAUCGUCUGCGCCUGCUUCGUGAAACCACCUGCUAUGUCUAUAUUUGAGUCAUCCAUAAAAAUGCUUAAUCAGAUUAGAGCUAAGUACCCCACAGGGCAUGGGCAGGAACAAGUUCAAACAUCUAUAAAAAGCACUUGAUUGUACUGUUAUCCAGUACUUCUCAAUCUUCUCUACAAAACCUUGCUCUGUGCUUUUCUGAAACACAAGAACAUCAUAUGCAGCUUCCCCCUGCCUCCACGGGGGACAUCAGCCCUGGACACUGCCACACCAAUUAGUGUAUUUAAAUUUUUAACUCAUUUGGGUAAAUAGUAAUAAGCAUGAUUUCGGAAUUACAUAUACGAGUAUGUUUAGUUUGUGACAAACUGCCAAACUGUUUUCCAAAGUAGCUGUACCAUUUUGCAUUCCCAGCAGCAACGAAUAAGAACUCCUGUUGCCCUACAUCCUUGCGAGCAUUCCAUGUUGUCACGGUUCUGGGUUUUUGGCCAUUCUAAUAGGCACGUAGUGAUAUUUCAUUGUUUGUUUUAAUUUGGAUUUCUCUGAUGAUAUAUGGUGUAGAGCAAUUUUUCCUAUGCUUAUUUUACAUCUCUCUAUCUUUUUUGGUGAAGUGUCUGUUAAGGUGUUUGGCCCGUAUUUUAAUAGGGAUGUUUUCGUAUUGUUGAGAUUUAGGUGAUCUUUGUAUAUUUUGGGUAAUUGUCCUUUACCAGGUAUAUCUUCUGUAAAUAUUUUCUUCCCGUCUAUGCCUUAUCUUUUCAUUCUCUUGACAGUUUCUUUUACAGAGCAUAAUUUUUUAAUUUUAACGAAGUCUAAUUCAUCAUGGAUCUUGCCUUUGGUGUUAUUUCUAAAACUUCAUCACAAUACCAAAAAUUUUCUCUGCUUAUCAUCUAGGAAUUUUAUUUUGCAUUUUAUAUUUAGGUCUGUUAUUAAUUUUGACUUACUAUUUUUGAAGGGUGUAAAUGUCUUGUGUGCUGCCAUCUAUUAUCUCAUACAUUCUGAUCUGUUUUACAUUAAAUCUUCUGUAUCUCUCUUUCUGAAAUUUGAGUCAAAGUUCCAGGAGGUGUUAUAUUUAUCUUUAAUUCCUUCUUCACCAUCAGACCCCUGCUUCCACCCUUGCCCAACCCCCACAUCGUCUAAUAUUAUUUUUCAUAACUGAACUGUAUUUUGGGUACAGGCUCUGACAAGUGCUUACUUAUGCUACAUUAUUUAAUUAUAACAAGAAUUCUAUUUUUUUUAGAUAUUAUUAUCCCUGGGGCAAAUAGAGUCCUAAAGUGGCCCCAAUGAUCCUCUCUCCCUAGUACUAUUAUCCUGAAUAAUUCAUUUUCCUUUAAUGUGGGUGGAAACUAUGGCUUGCUUCUACGGAUAGAAUAUGGCAAAAGUGAAAGGAUUUUGCAGAUGUAAUUAAGGUCUCAGAUCAAUCAAAUAGAAGAUUAUCCUGAGAAGACCUGACCUAAGUGAAAUCUC